CCUACGGGAGGCUGCAGCGGAGAAUCUUGCGCAAUGGGCGAAAGCCUGACGCAGCAACGCCGCGUGCGGGAUGAAGGCCUUCGGGUCGUAAACCGCUUUCAGUAGGGACGAAAACAGACGGUACCUACAGAAGAAGCACCGGCCAACUACGUGCCAGCAGCCGCGGUAACACGUAGGGUGCAAGCGUUGUCCGGAAUCAUUGGGCGUAAAGAGCUCGUAGGCGGCUUAGUAAGUCGGGUGUGAAAACCCCAGGCUCAACCUGGGGACGCCACCCGAUACUGCUAUAGCUAGAGUCCAGUAGGGGAGUGUGGAAUUCCCAGUGUAGCGGUGAAAUGCGCAGAUAUUGGGAGGAACACCAGCGGCGAAGGCGGCACUCUGGGCUGGUACUGACGCUGAGGAGCGAAAGCGUGGGUAGCGAACAGGAUUAGAUACCCCUGUAG
rnacentral:rRNA from 1 species